rnacentral:rRNA from 1 species
UACGUAGGGAGCGAGCGUUGUCCGGAAUUACUGGGUGUAAAGGGAGCGUAGGCGGGCGAGAAAGUUGAAUGUUAAAUCUACCGGCUUAACUGGUAGCUGCGUUCAAAACUUCUUGUCUUGAGUGAAGUAGAGGCAGGCGGAAUUCCUAGUGUAGCGGUGAAAUGCGUAGAUAUUAGGAGGAACAUCAGUGGCGAAGGCGGCCACCUGGACCGGUAUUGACGCUGAGGCGCGAAAGCGUGGGGAGCAAACAGG